AUGCUUUCUGGCGAGACGGCCUCCGGCCAGUAUCCGGUGGAGGCGGUUAAGACGAUGGAUCGGAUCGCCGUUCGAACCGAGGAAGACAUU
rnacentral:tRNA from 1 species